rnacentral:rRNA from 1 species
UACAGAGGUCCCGAGCGUUGUUCGGAUUCACUGGGCGUAAAGGGUGCGUAGGUGGCAUAGAAAGUUUGAUGUGAAAGCUCGGGGCUUAACCCUGAAAUGGCAUUGAAUACUGCUGUGCUGGAGGUUUGGAGGGGGGACUGGAAUUCUUGGUGUAGCAGUGAAAUGCGUAGAUAUCAAGAGGAACACCAGUGGCGAAGGCGAGUCCCUGGACAACACCUGACACUGAGGCACGAAAGCUAGGGGAGCAAACAGG